UGCGAGGGCAUAUAGCCCUCGCUUUUCUGUACCGUAAGGUGGUACAGGAACAAGGACUGGGCAAGACCGGUGCCAGCCGCCGCGGUAAUACCGGCAGUCCAAGUGAUGGCCGAUAUUAUUGGGCCUAAAGCGUCCGUAGCCGGCCGGACAAGUCCGUUGGGAAAUCGACGCGCUCAACGCGUCGGCGUCCAGCGGAAACUGUCCGGCUUGGGGCCGGAAGACCUGAGGGGUACGUCCGGGGUAGGAGUGAAAUCCUGUAAUCCUGGACGGACCACCAAUGGGGAAACCACCUCAGGAAGACGGACCCGACGGUGAGGGACGAAAGCANGGGUCUCNAACCGGAUU
rnacentral:rRNA from 1 species